GCCCAGACUCCUACGGGAGGCAGCAGUGGGGAAUAUUGCACAAUGGGGGAAACCCUGAUGCAGCGACGCCGCGUGAGCGAAGAAGUACCUCGGUAUGUAAAGCUCUAUCAGCAGGGAAGAAGAUGACGGUACCUGACCAAGAAGCCCCGGCUAACUACGUGCCAGCAGCCGCGGUAAUACGUAGGGGGCGAGCGUUAUCCGGAUUCACUGGGUGUAAAGGGAGCGUAGACGGCCAAGCAAGCCAGGGGUGAAAGCCCGGGGCCCAACCCCGGGACUGCCCUUGGAACUGCUUGGCUGGAGUGCGGGAGGGGCAGGCGGAAUUCCUGGUGUAGCGGUGAAAUGCGUAGAUAUCAGGAGGAACACCGGCGGCGAAGGCGGCCUGCUGGACCGCGACUGACGUUGAGGCUCGAAAGCGUGGGGAGCAAACAGGAUUAGAUACCCCAGUA
rnacentral:rRNA from 1 species